UACGGAGGGUGCAAGCGUUAUCCGGAAUUACUGGGUUUAAAGGGUGCGUAGGCGGGUCUAUAAGUCAGAGGUGAAAGCUUUCAGCUUAACUGAAAAAUUGCCUUUGAUACUGUAGAUCUUGAAUUAUGUUGAGGUUAGCGGAAUGUGACAUGUAGCGGUGAAAUGCAUAGAUAUGUCAUAGAACACCAAUUGCGAAGGCAGCUAGCUAGGCAUAUAUUGACGCUGAGGCACGAAAGCAUGGGGAGCGAACAGG
rnacentral:rRNA from 1 species